rnacentral:rRNA from 1 species
AUACGGAGGAUCCGAGCGUUAUCCGGAUUUAUUGGGUUUAAAGGGUGCGCAGGCGGCCAUUUAAGUCAGCGGUUAAAUCGUGGGGCUCAACCCCAUUCUGCCGUUGAUACUGGGUGGCUUGAUUGCGGUCGAGGUUGGCGGAAUUCGUCGUGUAGCGGUGAAAUGCAUAGAUAUGACGAAGAACACCGAUUGCGUAGGCAGCUGACCAGAUCGCAAAUGACGCUCAUGCACGAAAGUGCGGGGAUCGAACAGGAUUAGAUACCCUGGUAGUCCGCACAGUAAACGAUGAAUACUUGUUUUCGGCGAUAUAAUGUCGGAGGCAAAGCGAAAGCGAUAAGUAUUCCACCUGGGGAGUACGCCGGCAACGGUGAAACUCAAAGGAAUUGACGGGG